CCUACGGGAGGCAGCAGUGGGGAAUAUUGCGCAAUGGGCGAAAGCCUGACGCAGCGACGCCGCGUGAGGGAUGAAGGUCUUCGGAUCGUAAACCUCUGUCAGCAGGGAAGAACGGUCACGGUGCUAAUCAGCAGUGAAUUGACGGUACCUGCAAAGGAAGCACCGGCUAACUCCGUGCCAGCAGCCGCGGUAAUACGGAGGGGGCGAGCGUUAACCGGAAUUACUGGGCGUAAAGCGCUCGUAGGCGGUAUGGCAAGUCAAGGGUGAAAUCCCGGGGCUCAACGUGGGAACUGCCUUUGAAACUGGCAAACUGGAGUGUGUGAGAGGAUAGUGGAAUUCCAGGUGUAGGAGUGAAAUGCGUAGAUAUCUGGAGGAACAUCAGUGGCGAAGGCGACUAUCUGGCACAUAACUGACGCUGAGGAGCGAAAGCGUGGGUAGCAAACAGGAUUAGAUACCCUUGUAGUC
rnacentral:rRNA from 1 species